CCUGUUGAUGAAACGAUUGAGAUAAUUAAUAAUCGUUUGUUUUCUAACUGUUGUAGGUUUCAUGGCCUCACUCGCUCUGAUUUUACUAAACUCUUAAGUCUUUCUGUCAAAAAUUGUCAUUUCGUGUUAAAUGGUCGUUUAUAUCAUCAAGUUGACGGCGUAGCUAUGGGUAGUCCUUUAGGACCUUUGUUUGCUAAAUAUUCAUGUCCUUUCACGAAAAGGAUUGGCUUCACAACUGUCCUGUCACCACUUCUCUAUAGACGAUAUGUUGAUGAUUGCUUCCUACUUUUCCGUCGUUCAGAGCAUGUACAGCUCUUUCUCACAUAUCUUAAUCGCCAGCACACCAACAUUCGCUUCACUAGUGAGGUUGAACGUGAUAGUAAGCUCCCAUUUCUCGACACUGACAUAUUCCGCUCUAAUGGAAAAUUUUCUACUUCUGUUUACCGUAAACCUACGUUUACUUGUCAUUUUACCAACUUCCAUAGCUUCAUUCCACUUACAUACAAACGCAGCAAAAUAUCUUGUUUAAUACACCGCAUCUUUAGCAUUUGUUCUAGCUAUGAGACUUUCCAUCACCAGCUUGAAGCAGCACGAAGAAUGUUUAUCUUAAAUGGUUUCCCUUGUCAUAUGUUUGACCGAUGUGUUAGAACUUUUCUUAACAAAGUAUUUCAACCUAAGCUACCUGUUCAUACUGUUCCUAAGAAAAUAAUUUAUUUCUGUCUCCCUUUUACGGGCACUCACUCCUUGCAAAUCCGCACGCAAAUCAACCGUCUUUGUCGUGCUGCUUUCCCACAUCUUGAUAUAAGAUUUGUCUUUCGAUCAACUAAACGGCUUUCCACCUUUUUCUCUUUUAAGGACAAAAUACCCAAAGCUCUGAAGUCGGGUGUAGUGUACUCUUUUACGUGUCGAUGCUGUUCCGCAUCGUAUGUGGGUCAAACCACGUGCCAUCUACACACCCGAGUUUCGGAACUCCCUGUGUAUCACUAUGUAAAAAUCCUCCCCAGUCCAGCAUUUUCUCACAUCUUACAUCCCCAAUUCACACUGCUUCUAUUGACGACUUUGAAAUUCUCUCCUCUUGUUCAGAUGACCAAGAACUCCUUAUUCAUGAAAGCUUUCUCAUCUCUAAAAUGAAACCCUCUCUCAACGUUCAAGGCAGUUCAAUUCCUCUUCACCAAUUCUGAUCUCUCUUUUUUAUAUUUUGUCUGUGUGUGUUGUCGUCCAAUUUGUAUGUUUUCAUUUUUGUUCG